AACGAACGCUGGCGGCAUGCCUAACACAUGCAAGUCGAACGAGACCUUCGGGUCUAGUGGCGCACGGGUGCGUAACGCGUGGGAACCUGCCUUUAGGUUCGGAAUAACAGUGAGAAAUUACUGCUAAUACCGGAUAAUGUCUUCGGACCAAAGAUUUAUCGCCUUUAGAUGGGCCCGCGUAAGAUUAGCUAGUUGGGGGGGUAAAGGCCUACCAAGGCGACGAUCUUUAGCUGGUCUGAGAGGAUGAUCAGCCACACUGGGACUGAGACACGGCCCAGACUCCUACGGGAGGCAGCAGUGGGGAAUAUUGGACAAUGGGCGAAAGCCUGAUCCAGCAAUGCCGCGUGAGUGAUGAAGGCCUUAGGGUUGUAAAGCUCUUUUACCCGAGAUGAUAAUGACAGUAUCGGGAGAAUAAGCUCCGGCUAACUCCGUGCCAGCCGCCGCCGUAAGAC
rnacentral:rRNA from 1 species